rnacentral:rRNA from 1 species
GAUGAACGCUGGCGGCGUGCCUAAUACAUGCAAGUCGAGCGAACAGACGAGGAGCUUGCUCCUCUGACGUUAGCGGCGGACGGGUGAGUAACACGUGGAUAACCUACCUAUAAGACUGGGAUAACUUCGGGAAACCGGAGCUAAUACCGGAUAAUAUAUUGAACCGCAUGGUUCAAUAGUGAAAGACGGUUUUGCUGUCACUUAUAGAUGGAUCCGCGCCGCAUUAGCUAGUUGGUAAGGUAACGGCUUACCAAGGCGACGAUGCGUAGCCGACCUGAGAGGGUGAUCGGCCACACUGGAACUGAGACACGGUCCAGACUCCUACGGGAGGCAGCAGUAGGGAAUCUUCCGCAAUGGGCGAAAGCCUGACGGAGCAACGCCGCGUGAGUGAUGAAGGUCUUCGGAUCGUAAAACUCUGUUAUUAGGGAAGAACAAAUGUGUAAGUAACUAUGCACGUCUUGACGGUACCUAAUCAGAAAACCACGGCUAACUACGU